rnacentral:tRNA from 1 species
GGGCGAUUAGCUCAGGUGGUUAGAGCGCACCCCUGAUAAGGGUGAGGUCCGAGGUUCAAGUCCUCGAUCGCCCA